rnacentral:rRNA from 1 species
AGCCUUCCAUGUUUGUGAGGUGAUGCCUGCCCCCUGAAAAUUUAAAGGGCCGUGGUAUUCUGACCAUGCAAAGGUAGCAUAAUCAUUUGCCUUCUAAUUAGGGGCUAGAAUGAAUGGCUUCACGAGAGAUUGACUGUCUCCACUACUAACAAUGAAGUUAAUUUUUAAGUGAAAAAGCUUAGAUUUGCUUGAAGGACGAUAAGACCCUAUAGAUCUUGACACUCAACCUUCUUUAGUGCGGUAGUUAUUUCAGAGAAGUCUAAGGUGUUUCGUUGGGGCGACGGUGAAAGAAGAAACAACUUUUACAGCUAAUAACAGUAAUCAGUGACCCUUGAUCCUACCAUGAAUUAAGAGCAAGUUACCUUAGGGAUAACAGCGUAAUUUUUCUUGAGAGACCAAAUCGACAGAAAAGUUUGCGACCUCGAUGUUGGUUCAGGGGACCUCGCUGGUGCAGCAGCAAGCAGAGGCAGUCUGUUCGACUAUCAAACCCCU